rnacentral:rRNA from 1 species
GUGCCAGCAGCCGCGGUAAUACGGAGGGUCCGAGCGUUAAUCAGAAAUUACUGGGCGUAAAGCGUGCGCAGGCGGCUCUCCUAAGCGAGAUGUGAAAGCCCUGGGCUCAACCUAGGAAUAGCAUUUCGAACUGGCGAACUAGAGUCUUGUAGAGGGGGGUAGAAUUCCAGGUGUAGCGGUGAAAUGCGUAGAGAUCUGGAGGAAUACCGGUGGCGAAGGCGGCCCCCUGGACAAAGACUGACGCUCAUGCACGAAAGCGUGGGGAGCAAACAGGAUUAGAUACCCUGGUAGUCC